GAGAAGGACUAACUAGCUUGCUAACCUAGAACCCCAAAACUAACCCCUUGGCCCUCUCC
rnacentral:tRNA from 1 species